rnacentral:rRNA from 1 species
GACAGAGGGUGCAAACGUUGUUCGGAUUUACUGGGCGUAAAGGGCGCGUAGGCGGCGCGGUAAGUCACUUGUGAAAUCUCUGAGCUUAACUCAGAACGGCCAAGUGAUACUGCAGUGCUAGAGUGCAGAAAGGGCAAUCGGAAUUCUUGGUGUAGCGGUGAAAUGCGUAGAUAUCAAGAGGAACACCUGAGGCGAAGGCGGGUUGCUAGGCUGACACUGACGCUGAGUGCGCGAAAGCCAGGGGAGCAAACGGG